UACGUAGGGUGCGAGCGUUAAUCGGAAUUACUGGGCGUAAAGCGUGCGUAGGCGGUUCGCUGUGUCCGAUGUGAAAGCCCCGGGCUUAACCUGGGAAUGGCAUUGGAAACUGGCGGGCUUGAGUGUGGCAGAGGGGGGUGGAAUUCCGCGUGUAGCAGUGAAAUGCGUAGAGAUGCGGAGGAACACCGAUGGCGAAGGCAGCCCCCUGGGCUAACACUGACGCUCAGGCACGAAAGCGUGGGGAGCGAACAGG
rnacentral:rRNA from 1 species